GGAGGAGUCCGAGCAAGAAAAGGAAGAAGGUGGCGAUGGAUACCUCCACUGCUGCUGUUGUUACUAUCGGUGUUCUGGAGCUUGUAGUUACUGCCAUUUUUGGGUGAUGAACCUAGCUGUGUCCUUGCUGCUGAUUGAUUGUAGUGAGAGACGUUGUAGCCAUUACUUUUUAUCUUGAGUCACCAUUGUCAUAUCUCGGUGCUGCUGCCCUUGUUUGGAACUACAGAAUGUUGUCUCCGCCACUGUCGAUUUAUCUAUUGCAAAGUCAUAAUUGAUAAUGGAGCUGCUAAGAUUGCUGCUACUGCCAUGAACUGGGGAUAAAAGGGGUUAUUGAGUUAAAUUCUGUGAUUGAGACAUUGAGCUUUACCUUUUCAGGAAUCGGAUGAAGAAGCGUUAAGAAGAGUUAUACUGCGUUUGGUUGAUAUGUUGUUGUAUUAAUUAGAUUAUUUUAUUCCCUCGUCUUUGUUAUUACAAAUUUGUAAGAGGGAUAGGAAUUGUAUGUUUUAUAUGUAUAUUAUAUUAUGAGUUAUUAUGUAAGGAGUCUUGUAUAUGAAUCUAUGCCUGUUUGUAUUUCUAUUAAGAUAAAGUGUUUAUUUCCCGUUUUCAAGGAAA